UGGGGAAUAUUGCACAAUGGGCGCAAGCCUGAUGCAGCCAUGCCGCGUGUGUGAAGAAGGCCUUCGGGUUGUAAAGCACUUUCAGCGGGGAGGAAGGCGUUAAGGUUAAUAACCUUGGCGAUUGACGUUACCCGCAGAAGAAGCACCGGCUAACCCCGUGCCAGCAGCCGCGGUAAUACGGAGGGUGCAAGCGUUAAUCGGAAUUACUGGGCGUAAAGCGCACGCAGGCGGUCUGUCAAGUCGGAUGUGAAAUCCCCGGGCUCAACCUGGGAACUGCAUUCGAAACUGGCAGGUGUGAGUCUCGUAGAGGGGGGUAGAAUUCCAGGUGUAGCGGUGAAAUGCGUAGAGAUCUGGGGGAAUACCGGUGGCGAAGGCGGCCCCCUGGACGAAGACUGACGCUCAGGUGCGAAAGCGUGGGGAGCAAACAGG
rnacentral:rRNA from 1 species